AUGACCAGGGAGAAGAUCCGCUCCCUGCGGAGGGAUCACAAGCCCAGCAAAGAGGACAGGGACGUGCUGGAGCCCUGCGAGGAGGAGGCGACACGGCCGGCCCUGGCGGGGCGCCGCAGCACAACGCAGUGACUGCCACCUGCCCAGCCCCGGCCUGCCUGGGCGGCAGCAACCCCACUUUGGUCGCUGACGGAGGUGGCUGCCCCUCGCUCUACCCGGUCCACGAGUGCGUCUUUAAGGGGGACGUGAGGAGACUGUCCUCGCUCAUCCGCAUGCACAAUAUCGGACAGAAAGAUAAUCAUGUCACAGCUCUUCUAAGGAAACUCAAGCAGCAAUCUAGGGAGAGUGUUGGAGAAAAACGACCUAGGUUGUAAAAAGCCCUAAAAGAGUUAGGUGACUUUUACCUAGAACUUCACUGGGAUUUUCAAAGCUGGGUGCCUUUGCUUUCCCGAAUUCUGCCUUCUGAUGCCUGUAAAAUAUACAAGCAAGGUAUCAACAUCAGGCUUGACACAACUCUCAUAGACUUUACUGACAUGAAGUGCCAACGAGGGGAUCUAAGCUUCAUCUUCAAUGGGGAUGCUGCACCCUCUGAGUCUUUUGUAGUGUUAGACAAUGAACAAAAAGUUUAUCAGCGAAUACACCAUGAGGAGUCAGAGAUGGAAACAGAAGAAGAAGUUGAUAUUUUAAUGAGCAGUGAUAUUUAUUCUGCGACUUUAUCAACCAAAUCCAUUUCUUUCACUCGUGCCCAAACUGGAUGGCUUUUUCGGGAAGAUAAAACAGAAAGAGUAGGAAACUUUUUGGCAGACUUUUAUCUGGUGAAUGGACUUGUUCUAGAAUCAAGGAAAAGGAGGGAGCACCUGAGUGAGGAGGACAUCCUGCCGAACAAGGCCAUCAUGGAGAGCCUGAGCAAAGGGGGGAGCCUGGCGGAGCAGAGCUUUGAGCCGGUUAGAAGACAGUCCCUUACCCCUCCUCCUCAGAAGGGGAAGAAUACAUAUCCCCCGAAAAUGGAAAGGCACCACACCUGGGCAGAGAACUGGUGUGCAAAGAGAGCAAGAAAACAUUUAAAGCCACUGUAGCCAUGAGCCAGGAAUUUCCCCUGGGAAUUGAGUUAUUGUUGAAUGUUCUAGAAGUAAUAGCACCCUUCAAGCACUUUAACAAGCUUAGAGAAUUUGUUCAAAUGAAGCUUCCUCCAGGCUUUCCUGUAAAAUUAGAUAUACCCGUGUUUCCCACAAUCACAGCCACUGUGACUUUUCAGGAGUUCCGAUGUGAUGAAUUUGAUGGAUCCAUCUUUGCUAUCCCUGAAGACUACAAGGAAGACCCAAGUCGUUUUCCUGAUCUUUAACUGAUCUGGAAGAGCAUGAGGCUCCAGGUGGAAAAGGCAGAGCUUUUCUAAGCAGAGUGUCAACACAUCAGUGAUGUGAUGAAAAACUGACCUCUAAUAAAACAUCCACAGCUUCCUGA